GAUCAUGGCUCAGGAUAACGCUGGCGGCGUGCCUAAUACAUGCAAGUCGAAUGGUAGCAAUACCAUGGCGAACGGGUGAGUAACACGUAGGUAACCUGUCUUUAAGCCGAGGAUAACCAUUGGAAACGAUGGAUAAUACUGGAUAGGACAUUUGAAGGCAUCUUUAGAUGUUUAAAGAUUUAUCACUUAGAGAGGGGCCUGCGGCGCAUUAGCUAGUCGGUGAGGUGAAGGCUUACCAAGGCGAUGAUGCGUAGCCGGACUGAGAGGUUGAACGGCCACAAUGGAACUGAGAACGGUCCAUACUCCUACGGGAGGCAGCAGUAGGGAAUUUUCGGCAAUGGGCGGAAGCCUGAACCCGAGCAACGCCGCGUGAACGAAGAAGUAUUUCGGUAUGUAAAGUUCUUUUAUUAGGGACGAAAAGACAGAUUGACGGUACCUAAUGAAUAAGCUCCGGCUAACUACGUGCCAGCAGCUGC
rnacentral:rRNA from 1 species